rnacentral:rRNA from 1 species
UACGGAAGGCAGCAGUGGGGAAUAUUGCACAAUGGGCGCAAGCCUGAUGCAGCCAUGCCGCGUGUAUGAAAAAGGCCUUCGGGUUGUAAAGUACUUUCAGUCGUGAGGAAGGUGUUAAGGUUAAUAACCUUAGCAAUUGACGUUAGCGACAGAAGGAGCACCGGCUAACUCCGUGCCAGUAGCCGCGGUAAUACGGAGGGUGCGAGCGUUAAUCGGAAUUACUGGGCGUAAAGGGCACGCAGGCGGUUAAUUAAGUUGGAUGUGAAAUCCCCGGGCUUAACCUGGGAAUGGCAUUCAAGACUGGUUAGCUAGAGUCUUGUAGAGGGGGUAGAAUUCCAUGUGUAGCGGUGAAAUGCGUAGAGAUGUGGAGGAAUACCGGUGGCGAAGGCGGCCCCUGGACAAAGACUGACGCUCAUGUGCGAAAGCGUGGGGAGCGAAACAGGGAUUAGAUACC